rnacentral:rRNA from 1 species
UACGUAGGGUGCAAGCGUUGUUCGGAUUUACUGGGCGUAAAGGGCGCGUAGGCGGCCACUGCAAGUCAGUUGUGAAAUCUCCGGGCUUAACCCGGAAAGGUCAACUGAUACUGCAGGGCUAGAGUGCAGAAGGGGCAACUGGAAUUCUCGGUGUAGCGGUGAAAUGCGUAGAUAUCGAGAGGAACACCUGCGGCGAAGGCGGGUUGCUGGGCUGACACUGACGCUGAAGCGCGAAAGCUAGGGGAGCGAACGGG